AUGUGCAUUGUUUGUGAGGUCUGAAUUUUGAAUUGCUGAGAAUGGGUGUGCUGCUUGUGAUUUCUGUUGUAUUGCCUGAGUUCAUGAGAACAUGGAAUUUGACUCUAAAUAUCUAUCACAUGGACUCAGCAUCUCCCUUAGUUUAAAUAUCAAUAAAGUUCUGUCUGUCUCUACUAAGGAAUCUAUCAGAGUAAGUAUAUGAAGGUCAUUUCAAAUAACUUUUUCCUUUUUAAUGAUAUCUGUGGGAUAGCUCACAAGCAUUAAAGUAGAAUGACAUUAAAUUCUUCUUAGUUGAAGAUGUUUUGCUCAUUAAACCAAUUCAAAUAUAUAAAAGGAAUUUUUUAGUAAGAUCUGUUUUGGGGGGAAAUCUUACUGAAAAUGGAAGGUCUGUACAAAUGUGAGGUACAGUGCUUCAGACAUAUCAAUACCAAUGGAAUGUUAAAAGGUCUUUCAACAUGAGGAAUAGGUGUUACAUGGUAAUUUGUUGAAAGAUACUACAAAUAUAAUUUGAAAGACAUUUAAUGGUUGUUCAUAGCUCUUAGGGUGUUUUUUGGUUUUGUUUUUUAUAAAUUAUAAGAUUGUAACAUCUGAUAUGCAUUGAAGGUUAUCUAAUAUUCUCUGUUAAUACAGCAUAAUUGUUCAUAAUCUUAAGAAACAAGUAGACAAAAUGUGAACUGCACAUUGAGGUGGAUAUCAUUUGGCUUAUAGAACAUAUUAGAUAUGCUCCUAAAUGACCUUAUUUUAAUUUCUUAUUUGGCUUACCUGAUAUUUUCUUCAUAAUUUUAAUUACGAAUGCAUGUGCAUAUGUGAAAAAUGAUUGAAAUAUUUUUGAGAGGGCAAGAACCUAAUCUAAGAGCAAAACAGUAUAAAUAAAAUAGAGAAGAUAUACUGUGCUUUAAAUUAAGUCUGUAAUGUGCUGUCAGAAGCUUAGGGUAAAGAUGAUCUGGUGUCUGACUGAAAAAAAAGACAAAAAUAGUAAAAAGUUUAUCUCCAGUUAAAAGUCAGCUUCUGGACUGGGUAUCUCUUCCAUAAUUGUUGAUGACCUUACUAGCAUCCAAACCAGAAGAUGUUUCUGAAUUUUCUUCACUGUUUAAACAUCAGCAACACCUUCAUCUGUUACAGAGAAAGCACAGAGCACAAAUAUUGUAUUUUAAUUGCAAUGAAAAAAGGAUAUAUUUACCCUCUUAUUCAGCUCAUGAGAAAGACUAAAUAUGAAAUUGGGGUAUUAUCAUUGUUUUCAUUUUCCCCAUCUUUAAAUUAGAAAUUCAGUUUUGUUUUCUACACUUUUCUGACAUGCUCCAAUAAUUUUGACAGACUUCAUGACAUUUUGGAGCACAGGUGGAGUAAUUUACUGGAAAAAAAACCAGAAAACUUUAUGAAGCACUUGAUUUUUUUUUUGUUCUCCAUAGCUUCACAGAAGGGAGGUUUGAACCAUGCUGGACUUCUUUUUACCAAAGAAAACUUGGAAGUUUUCAGUGGAAUAAAGAGUUCCAAGCCUGUGUCCCAGAAUGGCAAUUUCACUGACACAAAAAUUAGAAAAGUUUGGGUUAACAGCUGCUUCUCUGCAGAUGUAUUCAAACAGAAACAUGCUUCAAUGAAUACACUGAAAAGAAUGCAAAACAAAUAUGUGUUUACAGAAAAGCACAUGAGAAAGUUAAUUAUAAGAAUGAAAACAUCAGAAGGCUUAGAAGAACUCAAAAUAACAAGGCAACAGAAGGGGUGGCUCCGUGCAGGAUGCAUGGCUCUCUCUACAGGUUGUAAAGUAGGAACAAAUCAGAAAGAAUGGAAACUUCAAUAAUGAAUUUCAUACUGUUUUGAGGAAGAUAUUACUUAUCUAUUAAUUCAACAUCUAAUCAGAAACUUAAAAUUUCUGAUGUUUCACCGUUAUGGAAGUUUCAUGUGUUGCUUCUAUGAGAAAAUAAUAAAUGCUUAAGGUGUAUCUAUUUUUUUCUGCAUUUCAAAACUGUGUAGGAUCAAGCAUUUCUGGAAGAGAAAUAGAAACUUGCUCAUUCAUUGGAGAUGGCUCUUUGGACACUUGGAUAAAAUGAGGUUUGCUUGUCUGACUUCUGCAAAGCCUGAUUUGAAGCCAGAUUUUCCAGGUGAAGUCCUGCUGGUCUUUGAUUGCUCUGUGUUGAUAAAGGAGUAUUUUCACCAGAAUUCCAUUCAAAACUUGUGAAUCUGUUUUGAAUCAAGAAGUGUAAAAAUCGAUAUGUUACUGAAAAGACCUGAAUAUGAUGCAUCAACUUAAUCAAUAAAUGCAUAGCCAAAUCUAAUAAGGUAUGUAUUAAAUAUCAGGAAAAAAUAUUGGUUUUACCAUAAAUUAAAGGUAGGCUUUAUAUAAAACUUGUGCUGGCAUUAAAACAAAUAAUCAAUGGGGUUUUUUUAAAGCAAUAAUUUAAUAAUUUUGACUUUUUCCUCAAAUAUUUUACUUUAGAAAUCUGUAAAUAGUAAAGGACCUUUACUUGCAAAUUUUAUGUGUGUCUCUUACUCAUUGCUAAAGAGGAAAACUGGAGAAAAUAGAAUGUAAACCUGAAGAGUCACUCAAUUAAAAGGAAACCUUAGGUCUUCUGUUAUUUUUAUAUGAAGAGGGUAUUAGUAGAUACAGAAGACAGCAAAAACAACCUCCAGCUUGCAUGGUUGCCUGAAUUGUCAUGCUGCAAGCAGGCUGAACAAAUGUGGAUGUAGCUUGAGCUGAACAUGGCUCGUCUCUCCCCAGCCCUUGCAUGAUGGUUCUCCUUGGAAGAAAUCAGUUGAUCCCAAGGUAUGGGUUGGAAAGGGGACAUCCUGUGAUCUAGAGUGAGAUGUGAAGAGUGCUCCUUAAUGUACUAAGCAAAAACUAUCAUUUAAGCUCCUGAUGGUCAUAACCUGAAUAAGGGUAUUUGUCCUUAUUGUUUUAUUUCUGAUUCAGUUCAGGUUAGUGUUUCAGUCUAUUGUGUAUUACAUAUCUCUCUGUGCAUGCUAAUUUUUGGGUGUACCGGCAUUCCUGUGUUCUCCAGCUUUAAUCCAUAUCUAUCUGCAGCAAGAGUAGAAGAGUGGAGUAUGAAAUACAAAAUGAGGGUUUAGUGCAAUAAUGAUGUCAUUGGCUAAGUCAUAUUCUGUCUGCUGUUCAGUCCUGUUCCUUCAGCACUGGAAUUUGUCCCCAACAAAAGGUCCAGCUCCUGCUUGCACAGGGGCCAAAGGCCUCUCUUCAAAGGAGAAUGGUGUGCUGGCUUGGCAACCUGCAACUUUUACUAGUCACAAUUUUGGCAACUUCUAGUGUACUGAAGCUUGAAUGUGCAUAAUAUGGGCACAGACACCAAAGUUAGUAAUGGUAUUGAUUCAGGAUAUGGCAUGAAGGAUAUAACACAGGAUCAAGCUGCAGGGUGUAAAGGGCUGCUAAAUGCCUAACUUUAUGUGUGUUUUAUGUAAUGUUUAAUUUUCAGUGUGGGCAGGGCAUGGUGUAUGGAGAAGAUUCUGUUUCUAUGGCACUUCUGGAUUCCCUGUGGAUAUCAGUGAAUGGUGUAGCUCAUAAAACACUUGUGCAUAAAAAAGGUUUGCUGUGUAAAUUUACCAGAUUAUGACGAAUUCUUUGGCUGCAGAAAAUUGCCCAGGAAAGAGUGUAUUUGGAGAUCAAAACAUGUAAAAACCAUGGUGUAUGUUGUGCCAAAAAAAGACACAAAAAUCUAAAGAUUUCAUGGCUGAUAAAGCUUUAGUCUAAUGUUGAGAAAGACAUUAUCCCCAAAAUACAGGUGCCACUUCCCUUUCAGGAGUCAUUUUCAUUGUUUUAAAUUUAACAGCAUAUGUAUUCCCAUGUGUGAGAAAUGGGUCCUGGUUAAUUUUUGUAUGCAAUAAAAGGACCUUUGGGCAUAUUUUACCUUAAUGCUUUUUGCUUUGUUUGAGAAAAAGAGCUCUCAAUCAGAAAAGCAAGAGAUUAACUUCAACUGCAGCAUGGAUGCUGGCCUGUUCAGUUAAAUGCACUGUUGAUAAUAGGUAUACCAGAUCAUGAAUAAUAAUAGAUUGUUCCUUUGCUUCUAAAGGUUCCUCCUUUUGAGUCUUUCUAAGGAAAAAAGAGAUACUUUAAAGAGCAGUGUGAGAUUUCAAGAUAUUAUAAAGUUUUGAAUGUAUACUGACUAUCUAAAAACAAAAAAAAAUCAUCCUGUUACACUAAAUGAUGUUUGUCAGCAUCUGAUUUCUUCUGCAAAAUGAAAAAGCUGUUGCCUUUGGUAAAAUGCAUGAUUUAGGAGCUGAACUAAAUAACAUAUAUGCCAGUUUACAGUAAAGAAGUUUUUCCUCAUAUGCAGGUGGAACUACCUGUGCAUCAGUUUCUAGCCAUUUCCUCUUGUCCUACUGCUUAGCACCUCUGAGAAGAGCCUGGCUCCAUCCUCUUGGCACCCUCCCUUCAGAAACUGAUAGGCACUGAUGACGUCCCCUCUCAGUCGCCUCUUCUUGAGGCUGAACAGGCCCAGCUCCCUCAGUCUUUCCUCAUAAGAGGAUGCUCCAGUCCCUAGACCGUCUUUGUUGUCCUCCACUGGACCCU